GUUCAACAGAUUCAGGAAGGAGAGAAAUCUUCCACCUGUCAUUAAUCACAUGAUCACAGAUGAGCUGCUCAGGAACAUGGCUGUAGACACUGACACUCACUUCCUGCUCAUCACAAGACUGAGUUAGCCACUAGCUGGUUUAGGACCAGUGACAUUAUUCUUCCUGGGAGUUUGUAGAGUCAGUGAACCUGAGGAGUAAAGUUAAAACUGGACCAAGAGCUGAAGCUGAGAAGAAGCCGAGCCGUGAGCUGCAGCUGCCAGAGGCCAUUUGAAGUUCUGUGUCUUGGCCAGGGACAGACACGCAGGACUUUGGCACACAGACUGAAAGAGGCUGACAUCGAACCACCGACCUUCUGGUCAGUGGAUGACCCGCUCUGCCUCCUGAGCCACAGCCUGUCUGCAUCCUCUUCACAACAGUAUCAGAAAAGACUUGAUGGACUCGAUGGAGCAUUUCCAAGGCUCCUUCCUGCCCCUGACGAACAGACGUGACUUCCAGCAUCUCACCCAGACGUGUGGGAGUCAUGGAGAAGGUGAGGGACGGCAGACCUGCGACACAGAACAUACAUUGUCUGCUGGGACCAGGACACACAGCUCUCCAGUGAUCGAUGGAGACAACACCAGUAAUGGCCUUAACAACCAGUCAAGGAGGAGGAUCAGUGGCCAUCGAUCGGAGCAGCCGGGGGAACCAGUGUAUGUCCG